UACGGAGGGGGCGAGCGUUAUUCGGAAUUAUUGGGCGUAAAGGGCGCGUAGGCGGCUCGAUAAGUCAAAGGUGAAAUCCCUCGGCUCAACUGAGGAACUGCCUUUGAAACUGUAGAGCUUGAGUCCGGGAGGGGGUAGCGGAAUUCCCAGUGUAGCGGUGAAAUGCGUAGAUAUUGGGAGGAACACCAGUGGCGAAGGCGGCUACCUGGACCGGAACUGACGCUGAGGCGCGAAAGCGUGGGUAGCAAAC
rnacentral:rRNA from 1 species